CUCCGGGGGACGCGGAAAGCGGGCCCGUUCCCACCGCCACGGGAGCUCGGCCCCGGGCCUGCCCGGUCCGCUCCUCGGGCGCUCCGGGCGGGCACUGACAGGACGGCGCAGGCGGACAGAGCAAGGACACGAUCUCCACCAUUUUCCGUGGAAAGCUAUUUCACAGCCUGUGUUCUGAUCUCAUUCCGGUGAGCCAUCCUCAAGCGAGUCCUCUUUAUGACGCCAGAGGGACUACUCUGGUACAGGGACUGAUGUAGUUAAAAAUCCCUGCUCACUGCUUUGAACAUUUUUAGUGGUGUAUUCUCGUUAUGUUAGUGGAGUAGGGAACAUGUAGAGACGCGCUUCAUUUUGGAUGUUUACUCCCUAGAUUGUUUUUCACAGAUGGUUUUAUUUUCAGGUUUCUUGGUUGUCUUGUUCCUCCCACAAGGAAGUGUGCCUAGUUAUUUUGACUCAACACCUUACGGCUUUAUAGCUUCUAUGUGUUCCAUCACCAUUUUUAGUACUGACAAUAUAAAUGAAUACAUCAUAAAUUACAAGGCUUGCUUGUUAGUUUUGUUUGGAUUUUUUGUUUGUAAUACUAAAAAUAUGUCAACAUACAAUUGCUAUUUUAUAUCACACAUACUUCAAGAUUUAAAUGCAAUUUAACAAUGAAAGAUGAAUUGCUGUACAAAUGGAUUUAGAGUAAUUUUACUAAUCAAAGAAUUUACUUGUUCCCAUUUUUUAUAUCUCAUUUAAUUCGAGUGUCAUAUGAAGACAAAACAGAAUGAAAAACUUAUUUGGACCCUCUUCAGCACUCUACAUGCAGGAAGAGCUUUGUGGAAAACGUAAGAACUCUGAGUAGCAAAAGACAGAAGACAAUGAAGAAAGGAAGGGGAGAAUGACUGCAACCACACUCCACUAAGUGUUACGUAUGAAUUUGCAGAGCUCAUUCCCAGUAAGAUUCAAUUUUGGGAUUUGUAGUUUGGUGUGACAUACGGAUGUCUGAAUACUUCUGGAAAUAAACGCCAUUGGGAAGGACUUCAUUUCAAAUAAAACCCAUGUAUAACAAAUGCCAAAGCUUCCAGCAGUGUUCAACACUCUCUUAUCUCCAGUUGUUCAGAAAAGAAGAUGAGGAUACCUGAAACAUAUGAGAAAGAAGGCACAACAUCUGCUGUGGCAGAUACACCACUGGGAAACAGGAAAAACGUGAAAAAGUACUUGAGCAGAAGAAUCCCUUUCCAUUAAACAAGACUGGGGGAAUGAAAUCUUAUUGGGACUUAGCAAUGUAAAACGACAGUAAAAAAUGACCCAGGAUAGAAAGACUUGUUUCGCUCUGUGAGUAGUGUUUAAUGGUACAAUAAAUAUUUGGAGAUGGAA